rnacentral:rRNA from 1 species
CCUACGGGAGGCAGCAGUGAGGAAUAUUGGUCAAUGGCCGGAAGGCUGAACCAGCCAUGCCGCGUGAAGGUCAGUGCCCUAUGGGCGUUAAACUUCUUUUGUGCGGGAGCAAUAAUGGUCACGUGUGGCCAGACGAGAGUACCGUACGAAUAAGCAUCGGCUAACUCCGUGCCAGCAGCCGCGGUAAUACGGGGGAUGCAAGCGUUAUCCGGAUUUAUUGGGGUUAAAGGGUGCGGAGGCUGUGAGGUAAGUCAGCGGUGAAAUGCCCCCGCUCAACGGGGUGAAGUGCCAUUGAUACUGCCUUGCUGGAAUGCGGAUGCCGUGGGAGGAAUGUGUGGUGUAGCGGUGAAAUGCAUAGAUAUCACACAGAACACCGAUUGCGAAGGCAUCUCACGAAUCCGCGAUUGACGCUGAUGCACGAAAGCGUGGGUAUCAAACAGGAUUAGAUACCCCAGUAGUC